GACGAACGCUGGCGGCGUGCUUAACACAUGCAAGUCGAACGGAAAGGCCCUGCUUUUGUGGGGUGCUCGAGUGGCGAACGGGUGAGUAACACGUGAGUAACCUGCCCUUGACUUUGGGAUAACUUCAGGAAAGUGGGGCUAAUACCGGAUAGGAGCUCCUGCUGGAUGGUGGGGGUUGGAAAGUUUCGGCGGUUGGGGAUGGACUCGCGGCUUAUCAGCUUGUUGGUGGGGUAGUGGCUUACCAAGGCUUUGACGGGUAGCCGGCCUGAGAGGGUGACCGGCCACAUUGGGACUGAGAUACGGCCCAGACUCCUACGGGAGGCAGCAGUGGGGAAUAUUGCACAGUGGGCGGAAGCCUGAUGCAGCAACGCCGCGUGCGUGAUGACGGCCUUCGGGUUGUAAACCGCUUUCGCCUGUGACGAAGCGUGAGUGACGGUAAUGGGUAAAGAAGCACCGGCUAACUACGUG
rnacentral:rRNA from 1 species